GUGUGUGAUGGGCUACAACUGGCCCAGCAGCUCGCCUAUUUCCCCUGCAACAUAGCCGCUCAACUUCCCCAAUUCCCUCCUCUUAUUCACCUCUCCUCGCCGAGAAUUCGCUGCUUUUUAUCCACUUCAACCCCCACCCUUCACAUGCGACGCUUUUUGAAUUAGAUUUAGGUAUUUCUCAAUUCAGCCUAGCUCCUGGAAGUGUGCUCCCGGGUUGAUAUUUUAGAAUAUCUCUGUCUGUUUAUCUAUCCUUGAGUUCACUGGAUUAUGCCCUCAAAGUAUGCACAUCAGUGAAAAAUGCUCACGGGCAGAAAAGUUCUCAGACGCUGCUUCUGCACUGCCACCGUGUUCCCAAACCCACGGCCCUGGCUUUUUGUGGGCUUAGGAAAUCCCGGGGAUAAAUUCUCGGGCACCAGGCACAAUGUGGGGUUUGCACUUAUCGAUGCAUUUGCGAAAUCACAAUCCAUCUCAAUGGACUCUAUCCAUUGCAAAGCUAGCUUUGGAAAAGGUUUCGUGGAUGGGAGUCCAGUAUUGUUGGCAAAGCCUCAGACUUACAUGAAUUUAAGCGGUGAAUCUAGUGGACCUCUCGCAGCUUAUUAUAAGCUCCCUCUUAAUCGUGUGCUAGUGUUUCAUGAUGACAUGGAUUUGCCUUGUGGAGUUCUGCGUCUUGUCCCCAAGGGACAUCAUGGAUGUCAUAAUGGGUUGAAAAGUGUGAUCUAUCAUUUCCAUGGGAAUAAAGAAUUUCCUCGUUUGAGAAUUGGUAUCGGAAGGCCUCCCAGACACAUGGACCCAAAAGCGUACUUACUCCAAAAAUUCAAUGCUAGAGCUCGAGAGAGGAUUGAUGCUGCAUUAGAAGAAGGUAUUGAUGCUCUGAAACAAGUCUUGGCCAAGGGCUUGACUGAGAGUGCGAGAUGCUUCAAUAAGGAGCAGAAGUACAAACAUAUAAGACUGCAAACAGUGCCUGUGUGACUUUAUCAAAGACCUAGGUAAUGAAUGGGCUUUUCCCCUAUGUGAGUGCUUAGUUGAAUGCAUUUUUAUCUGUAUAAUCAGCAAUUCUUAGCCAAUAUUUGUAGAUUACAGCUAAUAUAUGUGACUAAGAUUUCCCAUCACAUGACCGAUGCCUAGGAGGAUUUGGCUCAUAGCUGAUUCUUGCUCAUGAAAGCUGCUUGUUAGCUAGCUCCACCUGUGUUGGUCUCAGGUGAUCAUAGUGAAGGAGAUAAUUUGGGUCAAAUGAAAGGGGCUGUUGUUAUAUAUAUAGCUGCGCAUGUAGAUAGAGAUGUUUUAUAGCUAAAAUUUCUGUAGUGAUCACAUAUCACAUUUGUUGUAUUACGGCCGAUAUUCAAACAAAUGAUGACCCUUUGAUAUUUUUCAACUGCUCUAUCAAAUUUUGCUUGUUGGAA